GGAAGCCGCCUGACAAGGCAUCAAACACAGAGGCCGCCCUUCGGGGCGGCCUUUUUUGCUUGUGCAGA
rnacentral:ncRNA from 2 species